GAAUUUUCGAGACCUUUGGCACCGUUCUAAGAUGGGUCCUCUCUUCGUAGGCUAAUGCAUUGGCCCUUUUUGACCCGUUUUGGGGCGAAAACAAAAACUGACUCCCGGGCAUAUUUUUUUUCGGCCUUUAUGGGCAGAGAACUUUAAUGCCGCUCAGAAUGAGGCCACCCAGUAGUUAGGUGUGAAUUUUCGAGACCUUUGGCACCGUUCUAAGAUGGGUCCUCUCUUCGUAGGCUAAUGCAUUGGCCCUUUUUGACCCGUUUUGGGGCGAAAACAAAAACUGACUCCCGGGCAUAUUUUUUUCGGCCUUUAUGGGCAGAGAACUUUAAUGCCGCUCGGAAUGAGGCCACCCAGUAGUUAGGUGUGAAUUUUCGAGACCUUUGGCACCGUUCUAAGAUGGGUCCUCUCUUCGUAGGCUAAUGCAUUGGCCCUUUUUGACCCGUUUUGGGGCGAAAACAAAAACUGACUCCCGGGCAUAUUUUUUUCGGCCUUUAUGGGCAGAGAACUUUAAUGCCGCUCGGAAUGAGGCCACCCAGUAGUUAGGUGUGAAUUUUCGAGACCUUUGGCACCGUUCUAAGAUGGGUCCUCUCUUCGUAGGCUAAUGCAUUGGCCCUUUUUUGACCCGUUUUGGGGCGAAAACAAAAACUGACUCCCGGGCAUAUUUUUUUCGGCCUUUAUGGGCAGAGAACUUUAAUGCCGCUCAGAAUGAGGCCACCCAGUAGUUAGGUGUGAAUUUUCGAGACCUUUGGCACCGUUCUAAGAUGGGUCCUCUCUUCGUAGGCUAAUGCAUUGGCCCUUUUUGACCCGUUUUGGGGCGAAAACAAAAACUGACUCCCGGGCAUAUUUUUUUCGGCCUUUAUGGGCAGAGAACUUUAAUGCCGCUCAGAAUGAGGCCACCCAGUAGUUAGGUGUGAAUUUUCGAGACCUUUGGCACCGUUCUAAGAUGGGUCCUCUCUUCGUAGGCUAAUGCAUUGGCCCUUUUUGACCCGUUUUGGGGCGAAAACAAAAACUGACUCCCGGGCAUAUUUUUUUCGGCCUUUAUGGGCAGAGAACUUUAAUGCCGCUCAGAAUGAGGCCACCCAGUAGUUAGGUGUGAAUUUUCGAGACCUUUGGCACCGUUCUAAGAUGGGUCCUCUCUUCGUAGGCUAAUGCAUUGGCCCUUUUUGACCCGUUUUGGGGCGAAAACAAAAACUGACUCCCGGGCAUAUUUUUUUCGGCCUUUAUGGGCAGAGAACUUUAAUGCCGCUCAGAAUGAGGCCACCCAGUAGUUAGGUGUGAAUUUUCGAGACCUUUGGCACCGUUCUAAGAUGGGUCCUCUCUUCGUAGGCUAAUGCAUUGGCCCUUUUUGACCCGUUUUGGGGCGAAAACAAAAACUGACUCCCGGGCAUAUUUUUUUUCGGCCUUUAUGGGCAGAGAACUUUAAUGCCGCUCAGAAUGAGGCCACCCAGUAGUUAGGUGUGAAUUUUCGAGACCUUUGGCACCGUUCUAAGAUGGGUCCUCUCUUCGUAGGCUAAUGCAUUGGCCCUUUUUGACCCGUUUUGGGGCGAAAACAAAAACUGACUCCCGGGCAUAUUUUUUUCGGCCUUUAUGGGCAGAGAACUUUAAUGCCGCUCAGAAUGAGGCCACCCAGUAGUUAGGUGUGAAUUUUCGAGACCUCUGGCACCGUUCUAAGAUGGGUCCUCUCUUCGUAGGCUAAUGCAUUGGCCCUUUUUGACCCGUUUUGGGGCGAAAACAAAAACUGACUCCCGGGCAUAUUUUUUUCGGCCUUUAUGGGCAGAGAACUUUAAUGCCGCUCAGAAUGAGGCCACCCAGUAGUUAGGUGUGAAUUUUCGAGACCUCUGGCACCGUUCUAAGAUGGGUCCUCUCUUCGUAGGCUAAUGCAUUGGCCCUUUUUGACCCGUUUUGGGGCGAAAACAAAAACUGACUCCCGGGCAUAUUUUUUUCGGCCUUUAUGGGCAGAGAACUUUAAUGCCGCUCAGAAUGAGGCCACCCAGUAGUUAGGUGUGAAUUUUCGAGACCUCUGGCACCGUUCUAAGAUGGGUCCUCUCUUCGUAGGCUAAUGCAUUGGCCCUUUUUGACCCGUUUUGGGGCGAAAACAAAAACUGACUCCCGGGCAUAUUUUUUUCGGCCUUUAUGGGCAGAGAACUUUAAUGCCGCUCAGAAUGAGGCCACCCAGUAGUUAGGUGUGAAUUUUCGAGACCUCUGGCACCGUUCUAAGAUGGGUCCUCUCUUCGUAGGCUAAUGCAUUGGCCCUUUUUGACCCGUUUUGGGGCGAAAACAAAAACUGACUCCCGGGCAUAUUUUUUUCGGCCUUUAUGGGCAGAGAACUUUAAUGCCGCUCAGAAUGAGGCCACCCAGUAGUUAGGUGUGAAUUUUCGAGACCUCUGGCACCGUUCUAAGAUGGGUCCUCUCUUCGUAGGCUAAUGCAUUGGCCCUUUUUGACCCGUUUUGGGGCGAAAACAAAAACUGACUCCCGGGCAUAUUUUUUUCGGCCUUUAUGGGCAGAGAACUUUAAUGCCGCUCAGAAUGAGGCCACCCAGUAGUUAGGUGUGAAUUUUCGAGACCUCUGGCACCGUUCUAAGAUGGGUCCUCUCUUCGUAGGCUAAUGCAUUGGCCCUUUUUGACCCGUUUUGGGGCGAAAACAAAAACUGACUCCCGGGCAUAUUUUUUUCGGCCUUUAUGGGCAGAGAACUUUAAUGCCGCUCAGAAUGAGGCCACCCAGUAGUUAGGUGUGAAUUUUCGAGACCUCUGGCACCGUUCUAAGAUGGGUCCUCUCUUCGUAGGCUAAUGCAUUGGCCCUUUUUGACCCGUUUUGGGGCGAAAACAAAAACUGACUCCCGGGCAUAUUUUUUUCGGCCUUUAUGGGCAGAGAACUUUAAUGCCGCUCAGAAUGAGGCCACCCAGUAGUUAGGUGUGAAUUUUCGAGACCUCUGGCACCGUUCUAAGAUGGGUCCUCUCUUCGUAGGCUAAUGCAUUGGCCCUUUUUGACCCGUUUUGGGGCGAAAACAAAAACUGACUCCCGGGCAUAUUUUUUUCGGCCUUUAUGGGCAGAGAACUUUAAUGCCGCUCAGAAUGAGGCCACCCAGUAGUUAGGUGUGAAUUUUCGAGACCUCUGGCACCGUUCUAAGAUGGGUCCUCUCUUCGUAGGCUAAUGCAUUGGCCCUUUUUGACCCGUUUUGGGGCGAAAACAAAAACUGACUCCCGGGCAUAUUUUUUUCGGCCUUUUAUGGGCAGAGAACUUUAAUGCCGCUCAGAAUGAGGCCACCCAGUAGUUAGGUGUGAAUUUUCGAGACCUCUGGCACCGUUCUAAGAUGGGUCCUCUCUUCGUAGGCUAAUGCAUUGGCCCUUUUUGACCCGUUUUGGGGCGAAAACAAAAACUGACUCCCGGGCAUAUUUUUUUCGGCCUUUAUGGGCAGAGAACUUUAAUGCCGCUCAGAAUGAGGCCACCCAGUAGUUAGGUGUGAAUUUUCGAGACCUCUGGCACCGUUCUAAGAUGGGUCCUCUCUUCGUAGGCUAAUGCAUUGGCCCUUUUUGACCCGUUUUGGGGCGAAAACAAAAACUGACUCCCGGGCAUAUUUUUUUCGGCCUUUAUGGGCAGAGAACUUUAAUGCCGCUCAGAAUGAGGCCACCCAGUAGUUAGGUGUGAAUUUUCGAGACCUCUGGCACCGUUCUAAGAUGGGUCCUCUCUUCGUAGGCUAAUGCAUUGGCCCUUUUUGACCCGUUUUGGGGCGAAAACAAAAACUGACUCCCGGGCAUAUUUUUUUCGGCCUUUAUGGGCAGAGAACUUUAAUGCCGCUCAGAAUGAGGCCACCCAGUAGUUAGGUGUGAAUUUUCGAGACCUCUGGCACCGUUCUAAGAUGGGUCCUCUCUUCGUAGGCUAAUGCAUUGGCCCUUUUUGACCCGUUUUGGGGCGAAAACAAAAACUGACUCCCGGGCAUAUUUUUUUCGGCCUUUAUGGGCAGAGAACUUUAAUGCCGCUCAGAAUGAGGCCACCCAGUAGUUAGGUGUGAAUUUUCGAGACCUCUGGCACCGUUCUAAGAUGGGUCCUCUCUUCGUAGGCUAAUGCAUUGGCCCUUUUUGACCCGUUUUGGGGCGAAAAAAAAAAACUGACUCCCGGGCAUAUUUUUUUCGGCCUUUAUGGGCAGAGAACUUUAAUGCCGCUCAGAAUGAGGCCACCCAGUAGUUAGGUGUGAAUUUUCGAGACCUCUGGCACCGUUCUAAGAUGGGUCCUCUCUUCGUAGGCUAAUGCAUUGGCCCUUUUUGACCCGUUUUGGGGCGAAAACAAAAACUGACUCCCGGGCAUAUUUUUUUCGGCCUUUAUGGGCAGAGAACUUUAAUGCCGCUCAGAAUGAGGCCACCCAGUAGUUAGGUGUGAAUUUUCGAGACCUCUGGCACCGUUCUAAGAUGGGUCCUCUCUUCGUAGGCUAAUGCAUUGGCCCUUUUUGACCCGUUUUGGGGCGAAAACAAAAACUGACUCCCGGGCAUAUUUUUUUCGGCCUUUAUGGGCAGAGAACUUUAAUGCCGCUCAGAAUGAGGCCACCCAGUAGUUAGGUGUGAAUUUUCGAGACCUCUGGCACCGUUCUAAGAUGGGUCCUCUCUUCGUAGGCUAAUGCAUUGGCCCUUUUUGACCCGUUUUGGGGCGAAAACAAAAACUGACUCCCGGGCAUAUUUUUUUCGGCCUUUAUGGGCAGAGAACUUUAAUGCCGCUCAGAAUGAGGCCACCCAGUAGUUAGGUGUGAAUUUUCGAGACCUCUGGCACCGUUCUAAGAUGGGUCCUCUCUUCGUAGGCUAAUGCAUUGGCCCUUUUUGACCCGUUUUGGGGCGAAAACAAAAACUGACUCCCGGGCAUAUUUUUUUCGGCCUUUAUGGGCAGAGAACUUUAAUGCCGCUCAGAAUGAGGCCACCCAGUAGUUAGGUGUGAAUUUUCGAGACCUCUGGCACCGUUCUAAGAUGGGUCCUCUCUUCGUAGGCUAAUGCAUUGGCCCUUUUUGACCCGUUUUGGGGCGAAAACAAAAACUGACUCCCGGGCAUAUUUUUUUCGGCCUUUAUGGGCAGAGAACUUUAAUGCCGCUCAGAAUGAGGCCACCCAGUAGUUAGGUGUGAAUUUUCGAGACCUCUGGCACCGUUCUAAGAUGGGUCCUCUCUUCGUAGGCUAAUGCAUUGGCCCUUUUUGACCCGUUUUGGGGCGAAAACAAAAACUGACUCCCGGGCAUAUUUUUUUCGGCCUUUAUGGGCAGAGAACUUUAAUACCGCUCAGAAUGAGGCCACCCAGUAGUUAGGUGUGAAUUUUCGAGACCUCUGGCACCGUUCUAAGAUGGGUCCUCUCUUCGUAGGCUAAUGCAUUGGCCCUUUUUGACCCGUUUUGGGGCGAAAACAAAAACUGACUCCCGGGCAUAUUUUUUUCGGCCUUUAUGGGCAGAGAACUUUAAUGCCGCUCAGAAUGAGGCCACCCAGUAGUUAGGUGUGAAUUUUCGAGACCUCUGGCACCGUUCUAAGAUGGGUCCUCUCUUCGUAGGCUAAUGCAUUGGCCCUUUUUGACCCGUUUUGGGGCGAAAACAAAAACUGACUCCCGGGCAUAUUUUUUUCGGCCUUUAUGGGCAGAGAACUUUAAUACCGCUCAGAAUGAGGCCACCCAGUAGUUAGGUGUGAAUUUUCGAGACCUCUGGCACCGUUCUAAGAUGGGUCCUCUCUUCGUAGGCUAAUGCAUUGGCCCUUUUUGACCCGUUUUGGGGCGAAAACAAAAACUGACUCCCGGGCAUAUUUUUUUCGGCCUUUAUGGGCAGAGAACUUUAAUACCGCUCAGAAUGAGGCCACCCAGUAGUUAGGUGUGAAUUUUCGAGACCUCUGGCACCGUUCUAAGAUGGGUCCUCUCUUCGUAGGCUAAUGCAUUGGCCCUUUUUGACCCGUUUUGGGGCGAAAACAAAAACUGACUCCCGGGCAUAUUUUUUUCGGCCUUUAUGGGCAGAGAACUUUAAUACCGCUCAGAAUGAGGCCACCCAGUAGUUAGGUGUGAAUUUUCGAGACCUCUGGCACCGUUCUAAGAUGGGUCCUCUCUUCGUAGGCUAAUGCAUUGGCCCUUUUUGACCCGUUUUGGGGCGAAAACAAAAACUGACUCCCGGGCAUAUUUUUUUCGGCCUUUAUGGGCAGAGAACUUUAAUACCGCUCAGAAUGAGGCCACCCAGUAGUUAGGUGUGAAUUUUCGAGACCUCUGGCACCGUUCUAAGAUGGGUCCUCUCUUCGUAGGCUAAUGCAUUGGCCCUUUUUGACCCGUUUUGGGGCGAAAACAAAAACUGACUCCCGGGCAUAUUUUUUUCGGCCUUUAUGGGCAGAGAACUUUAAUGCCGCUCAGAAUGAGGCCACCCAGUAGUUAGGUGUGAAUUUUCGAGACCUCUGGCACCGUUCUAAGAUGGGUCCUCUCUUCGUAGGCUAAUGCAUUGGCCCUUUUUGACCCGUUUUGGGGCGAAAACAAAAACUGACUCCCGGGCAUAUUUUUUUCGGCCUUUAUGGGCAGAGAACUUUAAUACCGCUCAGAAUGAGGCCACCCAGUAGUUAGGUGUGAAUUUUCGAGACCUCUGGCACCGUUCUAAGAUGGGUCCUCUCUUCGUAGGCUAAUGCAUUGGCCCUUUUUGACCCGUUUUGGGGCGAAAACAAAAACUGACUCCCGGGCAUAUUUUUUUCGGCCUUUAUGGGCAGAGAACUUUAAUGCCGCUCAGAAUGAGGCCACCCAGUAGUUAGGUGUGAAUUUUCGAGACCUCUGGCACCGUUCUAAGAUGGGUCCUCUCUUCGUAGGCUAAUGCAUUGGCCCUUUUUGACCCGUUUUGGGGCGAAAACAAAAACUGACUCCCGGGCAUAUUUUUUUCGGCCUUUAUGGGCAGAGAACUUUAAUGCCGCUCAGAAUGAGGCCACCCAGUAGUUAGGUGUGAAUUUUCGAGACCUCUGGCACCGUUCUAAGAUGGGUCCUCUCUUCGUAGGCUAAUGCAUUGGCCCUUUUUGACCCGUUUUGGGGCGAAAACAAAAACUGACUCCCGGGCAUAUUUUUUUCGGCCUUUAUGGGCAGAGAACUUUAAUACCGCUCAGAAUGAGGCCACCCAGUAGUUAGGUGUGAAUUUUCGAGACCUCUGGCACCGUUCUAAGAUGGGUCCUCUCUUCGUAGGCUAAUGCAUUGGCCCUUUUUGACCCGUUUUGGGGCGAAAACAAAAACUGACUCCCGGGCAUAUUUUUUUCGGCCUUUAUGGGCAGAGAACUUUAAUGCCGCUCAGAAUGAGGCCACCCAGUAGUUAGGUGUGAAUUUUCGAGACCUCUGGCACCGUUCUAAGAUGGGUCCUCUCUUCGUAGGCUAAUGCAUUGGCCCUUUUUGACCCGUUUUGGGGCGAAAACAAAAACUGACUCCCGGGCAUAUUUUUUUCGGCCUUUAUGGGCAGAGAACUUUAAUGCCGCUCAGAAUGAGGCCACCCAGUAGUUAGGUGUGAAUUUUCGAGACCUCUGGCACCGUUCUAAGAUGGGUCCUCUCUUCGUAGGCUAAUGCAUUGGCCCUUUUUGACCCGUUUUGGGGCGAAAACAAAAACUGACUCCCGGGCAUAUUUUUUUCGGCCUUUAUGGGCAGAGAACUUUAAUGCCGCUCAGAAUGAGGCCACCCAGUAGUUAGGUGUGAAUUUUCGAGACCUCUGGCACCGUUCUAAGAUGGGUCCUCUCUUCGUAGGCUAAUGCAUUGGCCCUUUUUGACCCGUUUUGGGGCGAAAACAAAAACUGACUCCCGGGCAUAUUUUUUUCGGCCUUUAUGGGCAGAGAACUUUAAUGCCGCUCAGAAUGAGGCCACCCAGUAGUUAGGUGUGAAUUUUCGAGACCUCUGGCACCGUUCUAAGAUGGGUCCUCUCUUCGUAGGCUAAUGCAUUGGCCCUUUUUGACCCGUUUUGGGGCGAAAACAAAAACUGACUCCCGGGCAUAUUUUUUUCGGCCUUUAUGGGCAGAGAACUUUAAUGCCGCUCAGAAUGAGGCCACCCAGUAGUUAGGUGUGAAUUUUCGAGACCUCUGGCACCGUUCUAAGAUGGGUCCUCUCUUCGUAGGCUAAUGCAUUGGCCCUUUUUGACCCGUUUUGGGGCGAAAACAAAAACUGACUCCCGGGCAUAUUUUUUUCGGCCUUUAUGGGCAGAGAACUUUAAUGCCGCUCAGAAUGAGGCCACCCAGUAGUUAGGUGUGAAUUUUCGAGACCUCUGGCACCGUUCUAAGAUGGGUCCUCUCUUCGUAGGCUAAUGCAUUGGCCCUUUUUGACCCGUUUUGGGGCGAAAACAAAAACUGACUCCCGGGCAUAUUUUUUUCGGCCUUUAUGGGCAGAGAACUUUAAUGCCGCUCAGAAUGAGGCCACCCAGUAGUUAGGUGUGAAUUUUCGAGACCUCUGGCACCGUUCUAAGAUGGGUCCUCUCUUCGUAGGCUAAUGCAUUGGCCCUUUUUGACCCGUUUUGGGGCGAAAACAAAAACUGACUCCCGGGCAUAUUUUUUUCGGCCUUUAUGGGCAGAGAACUUUAAUGCCGCUCAGAAUGAGGCCACCCAGUAGUUAGGUGUGAAUUUUCGAGACCUCUGGCACCGUUCUAAGAUGGGUCCUCUCUUCGUAGGCUAAUGCAUUGGCCCUUUUUGACCCGUUUUGGGGCGAAAACAAAAACUGACUCCCGGGCAUAUUUUUUUCGGCCUUUAUGGGCAGAGAACUUUAAUGCCGCUCAGAAUGAGGCCACCCAGUAGUUAGGUGUGAAUUUUCGAGACCUCUGGCACCGUUCUAAGAUGGGUCCUCUCUUCGUAGGCUAAUGCAUUGGCCCUUUUUGACCCGUUUUGGGGCGAAAACAAAAACUGACUCCCGGGCAUAUUUUUUUCGGCCUUUAUGGGCAGAGAACUUUAAUGCCGCUCAGAAUGAGGCCACCCAGUAGUUAGGUGUGAAUUUUCGAGACCUCUGGCACCGUUCUAAGAUGGGUCCUCUCUUCGUAGGCUAAUGCAUUGGCCCUUUUUGACCCGUUUUGGGGCGAAAACAAAAACUGACUCCCGGGCAUAUUUUUUUCGGCCUUUAUGGGCAGAGAACUUUAAUGCCGCUCAGAAUGAGGCCACCCAGUAGUUAGGUGUGAAUUUUCGAGACCUCUGGCACCGUUCUAAGAUGGGUCCUCUCUUCGUAGGCUAAUGCAUUGGCCCUUUUUGACCCGUUUUGGGGCGAAAACAAAAACUGACUCCCGGGCAUAUUUUUUUCGGCCUUUAUGGGCAGAGAACUUUAAUACCGCUCAGAAUGAGGCCACCCAGUAGUUAGGUGUGAAUUUUCGAGACCUCUGGCACCGUUCUAAGAUGGGUCCUCUCUUCGUAGGCUAAUGCAUUGGCCCUUUUUGACCCGUUUUGGGGCGAAAACAAAAACUGACUCCCGGGCAUAUUUUUUUCGGCCUUUAUGGGCAGAGAACUUUAAUGCCGCUCAGAAUGAGGCCACCCAGUAGUUAGGUGUGAAUUUUCGAGACCUCUGGCACCGUUCUAAGAUGGGUCCUCUCUUCGUAGGCUAAUGCAUUGGCCCUUUUUGACCCGUUUUGGGGCGAAAACAAAAACUGACUCCCGGGCAUAUUUUUUUCGGCCUUUAUGGGCAGAGAACUUUAAUACCGCUCAGAAUGAGGCCACCCAGUAGUUAGGUGUGAAUUUUCGAGACCUCUGGCACCGUUCUAAGAUGGGUCCUCUCUUCGUAGGCUAAUGCAUUGGCCCUUUUUGACCCGUUUUGGGGCGAAAACAAAAACUGACUCCCGGGCAUAUUUUUUUCGGCCUUUAUGGGCAGAGAACUUUAAUGCCGCUCAGAAUGAGGCCACCCAGUAGUUAGGUGUGAAUUUUCGAGACCUCUGGCACCGUUCUAAGAUGGGUCCUCUCUUCGUAGGCUAAUGCAUUGGCCCUUUUUGACCCGUUUUGGGGCGAAAACAAAAACUGACUCCCGGGCAUAUUUUUUUCGGCCUUUAUGGGCAGAGAACUUUAAUGCCGCUCAGAAUGAGGCCACCCAGUAGUUAGGUGUGAAUUUUCGAGACCUCUGGCACCGUUCUAAGAUGGGUCCUCUCUUCGUAGGGCUAAUGCAUUGGCCCUUUUUGACCCGUUUUGGGGCGAAAACAAAAACUGACUCCCGGGCAUAUUUUUUUCGGCCUUUAUGGGCAGAGAACUUUAAUACCGCUCAGAAUGAGGCCACCCAGUAGUUAGGUGUGAAUUUUCGAGACCUCUGGCACCGUUCUAAGAUGGGUCCUCUCUUCGUAGGCUAAUGCAUUGGCCCUUUUUGACCCGUUUUGGGGCGAAAACAAAAACUGACUCCCGGGCAUAUUUUUUUCGGCCUUUAUGGGCAGAGAACUUUAAUGCCGCUCAGAAUGAGGCCACCCAGUAGUUAGGUGUGAAUUUUCGAGACCUCUGGCACCGUUCUAAGAUGGGUCCUCUCUUCGUAGGCUAAUGCAUUGGCCCUUUUUGACCCGUUUUGGGGCGAAAACCAAAAACUGACUCCCGGGCAUAUUUUUUUCGGCCUUUAUGGGCAGAGAACUUUAAUACCGCUCAGAAUGAGGCCACCACCCAGUAGUUAGGUGUGAAUUUUCGAGACCUCUGGCACCGUUCUAAGAUGGGUCCUCUCUUCGUAGGCUAAUGCAUUGGCCCUUUUUGACCCGUUUUGGGGCGAAAACAAAAACUGACUCCCGGGCAUAUUUUUUUCGGCCUUUAUGGGCAGAGAAACUUUAAUGCCGCUCAGAAUGAGGCCACCCAGUAGUUAGGUGUGAAUUUUCGAGACCUCUGGCACCGUUCUAAGAUGGGUCCUCUCUUCGUAGGCUAAUGCAUUGGCCCUUUUUGACCCGUUUUGGGGCGAAAACAAAAACUGACUCCCGGGCAUAUUUUUUUCGGCCUUUAUGGGCAGAGAACUUUAAUACCGCUCAGAAUGAGGCCACCCAGUAGUUAGGUGUGAAUUUUCGAGACCUCUGGCACCGUUCUAAGAUGGGUCCUCUCUUCGUAGGCUAAUGCAUUGGCCCUUUUUGACCCGUUUUGGGGCGAAAACAAAAACUGACUCCCGGGCAUAUUUUUUUCGGCCUUUAUGGGCAAAGAACUUUAAUGCCGCUCAGAAUGAGGCCACCCAGUAGUUAGGUGUGAAUUUUCGAGACCUCUGGCACCGUUCUAAGAUGGGUCCUCUCUUCGUAGGCUAAUGCAUUGGCCCUUUUUGACCCGUUUUGGGGCGAAAAACAAAAACUGACUCCCGGGCAUAUUUUUUUCGGCCUUUAUGGGCAAAGAACUUUAAUGCCGCUCAGAAUGAGGCCACCCAGUAGUUAGGUGUGAAUUUUCGAGACCUCUGGCACCGUUCUAAGAUGGGUCCUCUCUUCGUAGGCUAAUGCAUUGGCCCUUUUUGACCCGUUUUGGGGCGAAAACAAAAAACUGACUCCCGGGCAUAUUUUUUUCGGCCUUUAUGGGCAGAGAACUUUAAUGCCGCUCAGAAUGAGGCCACCCAGUAGUUAGGUGUGAAUUUUCGAGACCUCUGGCACCGUUCUAAGAUGGGUCCUCUCUUCGUAGGCUAAUGCAUUGGCCCUUUUUGACCCGUUUUGGGGCGAAAACAAAAACUGACUCCCGGGCAUAUUUUUUUCGGCCUUUAUGGGCAGAGAACUUUAAUACCGCUCAGAAUGAGGCCACCCAGUAGUUAGGUGUGAAUUUUCGAGACCUCUGGCACCGUUCUAAGAUGGGUCCUCUCUUCGUAGGCUAAUGCAUUGGCCCUUUUUGACCCGUUUUGGGGCGAAAACAAAAACUGACUCCCGGGCAUAUUUUUUUCGGCCUUUAUGGGCAGAGAACUUUAAUACCGCUCAGAAUGAGGCCACCCAGUAGUUAGGUGUGAAUUUUCGAGACCCUCUGGCACCGUUCUAAGAUGGGUCCUCUCUUCGUAGGCUAAUGCAUUGGCCCUUUUUGACCCGUUUUGGGGCGAAAACAAAAACUGACUCCCGGGCAUAUUUUUUUCGGCCUUUAUGGGCAGAGAACUUUAAUACCGCUCAGAAUGAGGCCACCCAGUAGUUAGGUGUGAAUUUUCGAGACCUCUUGGCACCGUUCUAAGAUGGGUCCUCUCUUCGUAGGCUAAUGCAUUGGCCCUUUUUGACCCGUUUUGGGGCGAAAACAAAAACUGACUCCCGGGCAUAUUUUUUUCGGCCUUUAUGGGCAGAGAACUUUAAUGCCGCUCAGAAUGAGGCCACCCAGUAGUUAGGUGUGAAUUUUCGAGACCUCUGGCACCGUUCUAAGAUGGGUCCUCUCUUCGUAGGCUAAUGCAUUGGCCCUUUUUGACCCGUUUUGGGGCGAAAACAAAAACUGACUCCCGGGCAUAUUUUUUUCGGCCUUUAUGGGCAGAGAACUUUAAUACCGCUCAAAAAUGAGGCCACCCAGUAGUUAGGUGUGAAUUUUCGAGACCUCUGGCACCGUUCUAAGAUGGGUCCUCUCUUCGUAGGCUAAUGCAUUGGCCCUUUUUGACCCGUUUUGGGGCGAAAACAAAAACUGACUCCCGGGCAUAUUUUUUUCGGCCUUUAUGGGCAGAGAACUUUAAUACCGCUCAGAAUGAGGCCACCCAGUAGUUAGGUGUGAAUUUUCGAGACCUUUGGCACCGUUCUAAGAUGGGUCCUCUCUUCGUAGGCUAAUGCAUUGGCCCUUUUUGACCCGUUUUGGGGCGAAAACAAAAACUGACUCCCGGGCAUAUUUUUUUCGGCCUUUAUGGGCAGAGAACUUUAAUGCCGCUCAGAAUGAGGCCACCCAGUAGUUAGGUGUGAAUUUUCGAGACCUCUGGCACCGUUCUAAGAUGGGUCCUCUCUUCGUAGGCUAAUGCAUUGGCCCUUUUUGACCCGUUUUGGGGCGAAAACAAAAACUGACUCCCGGGCAUAUUUUUUUCGGCCUUUAUGGGCAGAGAACUUUAAUGCCGCUCAGAAUGAGGCCACCCAGUAGUUAGGUGUGAAUUUUCGAGACCUCUGGCACCGUUCUAAGAUGGGUCCUCUCUUCGUAGGCUAAUGCAUUGGCCCUUUUUGACCCGUUUUGGGGCGAAAACAAAAACUGACUCCCGGGCAUAUUUUUUUCGGCCUUUAUGGGCAGAGAACUUUAAUACCGCUCAGAAUGAGGCCACCCAGUAGUUAGGUGUGAAUUUUCGAGACCUCUGGCACCGUUCUAAGAUGGGUCCUCUCUUCGUAGGCUAAUGCAUUGGCCCUUUUUGACCCGUUUUGGGGCGAAAACAAAAACUGACUCCCGGGCAUAUUUUUUUCGGCCUUUAUGGGCAGAGAACUUUAAUACCGCUCAGAAUGAGGCCACCCAGUAGUUAGGUGUGAAUUUUCGAGACCUCUGGCACCGUUCUAAGAUGGGUCCUCUCUUCGUAGGCUAAUGCAUUGGCCCUUUUUGACCCGUUUUGGGGCGAAAACAAAAACUGACUCCCGGGCAUAUUUUUUUCGGCCUUUAUGGGCAGAGAACUUUAAUACCGCUCAGAAUGAGGCCACCCAGUAGUUAGGUGUGAAUUUUCGAGACCUUCUGGCACCGUUCUAAGAUGGGUCCUCUCUUCGUAGGCUAAUGCAUUGGCCCUUUUUGACCCGUUUUGGGGCGAAAACAAAAACUGACUCCCGGGCAUAUUUUUUUCGGCCUUUAUGGGCAGAGAACUUUAAUGCCGCUCAGAAUGAGGCCACCCAGUAGUUAGGUGUGAAUUUUCGAGACCUCUGGCACCGUUCUAAGAUGGGUCCUCUCUUCGUAGGCUAAUGCAUUGGCCCUUUUUGACCCGUUUUGGGGCGAAAACAAAAACUGACUCCCGGGCAUAUUUUUUUCGGCCUUUAUGGGCAGAGAACUUUAAUACCGCUCAGAAUGAGGCCACCCAGUAGUUAGGUGUGAAUUUUCGAGACCUCUGGCACCGUUCUAAGAUGGGUCCUCUCUUCGUAGGCUAAUGCAUUGGCCCUUUUUGACCCGUUUUGGGGCGAAAACAAAAACUGACUCCCGGGCAUAUUUUUUUCGGCCUUUAUGGGCAGAGAACUUUAAUACCGCUCAGAAUGAGGCCACCCAGUAGUUAGGUGUGAAUUUUCGAGACCUCUGGCACCGUUCUAAGAUGGGUCCUCUCUUCGUAGGCUAAUGCAUUGGCCCUUUUUGACCCGUUUUGGGGCGAAAACAAAAACUGACUCCCGGGCAUAUUUUUUUCGGCCUUUAUGGGCAGAGAACUUUAAUGCCGCUCAGAAUGAGGCCACCCAGUAGUUAGGUGUGAAUUUUCGAGACCUCUGGCACCGUUCUAAGAUGGGUCCUCUCUUCGUAGGCUAAUGCAUUGGCCCUUUUUGACCCGUUUUGGGGCGAAAACAAAAACUGACUCCCGGGCAUAUUUUUUUCGGCCUUUAUGGGCAGAGAACUUUAAUACCGCUCAGAAAUGAGGCCACCCAGUAGUUAGGUGUGAAUUUUCGAGACCUCUGGCACCGUUCUAAGAUGGGUCCUCUCUUCGUAGGCUAAUGCAUUGGCCCUUUUUGACCCGUUUUGGGGCGAAAACAAAAACUGACUCCCGGGCAUAUUUUUUUCGGCCUUUAUGGGCAGAGAACUUUAAUACCGCUCAGAAUGAGGCCACCCAGUAGUUAGGUGUGAAUUUUCGAGACCUCUCGGCACCGUUCUAAGAUGGGUCCUCUCUUCGUAGGCUAAUGCAUUGGCCCUUUUUGACCCGUUUUGGGGCGAAAACAAAAACUGACUCCCGGGCAUAUUUUUUUCGGCCUUUAUGGGCAGAGAACUUUAAUGCCGCUCAGAAAUGAGGCCACCCAGUAGUUAGGUGUGAAUUUUCGAGACCUCUGGCACCGUUCUAAGAUGGGUCCUCUCUUCGUAGGCUAAUGCAUUGGCCCUUUUUGACCCGUUUUGGGGCGAAAACAAAAACUGACUCCCGGGCAUAUUUUUUUCGGCCUUUAUGGGCAGAGAACUUUAAUACCGCUCAGAAUGAGGCCACCCAGUAGUUAGGUGUGAAUUUUCGAGACCUCUGGCACCGUUCUAAGAUGGGUCCUCUCUUCGUAGGCUAAUGCAUUGGCCCUUUUUGACCCGUUUUGGGGCGAAAACAAAAACUGACUCCCGGGCAUAUUUUUUUCGGCCUUUAUGGGCAGAGAACUUUAAUACCGCUCAGAAUGAGGCCACCCAGUAGUUAGGUGUGAAUUUUCGAGACCUCUUGGCACCGUUCUAAGAUGGGUCCUCUCUUCGUAGGCUAAUGCAUUGGCCCUUUUUGACCCGUUUUGGGGCGAAAACAAAAACUGACUCCCGGGCAUAUUUUUUUCGGCCUUUAUGGGCAGAGAACUUUAAUGCCGCUCAGAAUGAGGCCACCCAGUAGUUAGGUGUGAAUUUUCGAGACCUCUGGCACCGUUCUAAGAUGGGUCCUCUCUUCGUAGGCUAAUGCAUUGGCCCUUUUUGACCCGUUUUGGGGCGAAAACAAAAACUGACUCCCGGGCAUAUUUUUUUCGGCCUUUAUGGGCAGAGAACUUUAAUGCCGCUCAGAAUGAGGCCACCCAGUAGUUAGGUGUGAAUUUUCGAGACCUUUGGCACCGUUCUAAGAUGGGUCCUCUCUUCGUAGGCUAAUGCAUUGGCCCUUUUUGACCCGUUUUGGGGCGAAAACAAAAACUGACUCCCGGGCAUAUUUUUUUCGGCCUUUAUGGGCAGAGAACUUUAAUACCGCUCAGAAUGAGGCCACCCAGUAGUUAGGUGUGAAUUUUCGAGACCUCUGGCACCGUUCUAAGAUGGGUCCUCUCUUCGUAGGCUAAUGCAUUGGCCCUUUUUGACCCGUUUUGGGGCGAAAACAAAAACUGACUCCCGGGCAUAUUUUUUUCGGCCUUUAUGGGCAGAGAACUUUAAUGCCGCUCAGAAUGAGGCCACCCAGUAGUUAGGUGUGAAUUUUCGAGACCUCUGGCACCGUUCUAAGAUGGGUCCUCUCUUCGUAGGCUAAUGCAUUGGCCCUUUUUGACCCGUUUUGGGGCGAAAACAAAAACUGACUCCCGGGCAUAUUUUUUUCGGCCUUUAUGGGCAGAGAACUUUAAUACCGCUCAGAAUGAGGCCACCCAGUAGUUAGGUGUGAAUUUUCGAGACCUCUGGCACCGUUCUAAGAUGGGUCCUCUCUUCGUAGGCUAAUGCAUUGGCCCUUUUUGACCCGUUUUGGGGCGAAAACAAAAACUGACUCCCGGGCAUAUUUUUUUCGGCCUUUAUGGGCAGAGAACUCUUAAUAGCCGCUCAGAAAUGGCCAGGCCACCCAGUAGUUAGGUGUGAAUUUUCGAGACCUCUGGCACCGUUCUAAGAUGGGUCCUCUCUUCGUAGGCUAAUGCAUUGGCCCUUUUUGACCCGUUUUGGGGCGAAAACAAAAACUGACUCCCGGGCAUAUUUUUUUCGGCCUUUAUGGGCAGAGAACUUUAAUGCCGCUCAGAAUGAGGCCACCCAGUAGUUAGGUGUGAAUUUUCGAGACCUCUGGCACCGUUCUAAGAUGGGUCCUCUCUUCGUAGGCUAAUGCAUUGGCCCUUUUUGACCCGUUUUGGGGCGAAAACAAAAACUGACUCCCGGGCAUAUUUUUUUCGGCCUUUAUGGGCAGAGAACUUUAAUGCCGCUCAGAAUGAGGCCACCCAGUAGUUAGGUGUGAAUUUUCGAGACCUUUGGCACCGUUCUAAGAUGGGUCCUCUCUUCGUAGGCUAAUGCAUUGGCCCUUUUUGACCCGUUUUGGGGCGAAAACAAAAACUGACUCCCGGGCAUAUUUUUUUCGGCCUUUAUGGGCAGAGAACUUUAAUGCCGCUCAGAAUGAGGCCACCCAGUAGUUAGGUGUGAAUUUUCGAGACCUCUGGCACCGUUCUAAGAUGGGUCCUCUCUUCGUAGGCUAAUGCAUUGGCCCUUUUUGACCCGUUUUGGGGCGAAAACAAAAACUGACUCCCGGGCAUAUUUUUUUCGGCCUUUAUGGGCAGAGAACUUUAAUACCGCUCAGAAUGAGGCCACCCAGUAGUUAGGUGUGAAUUUUCGAGACCUUUGGCACCGUUCUAAGAUGGGUCCUCUCUUCGUAGGCUAAUGCAUUGGCCCUUUUUGACCCGUUUUGGGGCGAAAACAAAAACUGACUCCCGGGCAUAUUUUUUUCGGCCUUUAUGGGCAGAGAACUUUAAUACCGCUCAGAAUGAGGCCACCCAGUAGUUAGGUGUGAAUUUUCGAGACCUCUGGCACCGUUCUAAGAUGGGUCCUCUCUUCGUAGGCUAAUGCAUUGGCCCUUUUUGACCCGUUUUGGGGCGAAAACAAAAACUGACUCCCGGGCAUAUUUUUUUCGGCCUUUAUGGGCAGAGAACUUUAAUGCCGCUCAGAAUGAGGCCACCCAGUAGUUAGGUGUGAAUUUUCGAGACCUUUGGCCACCGUUCUAAGAUGGGUCCUCUCUUCGUAGGCUAAUGCAUUGGCCCUUUUUGACCCGUUUUGGGGCGAAAACAAAAACUGACUCCCGGGCAUAUUUUUUUCGGCCUUUAUGGGCAGAGAACUUUAAUACCGCUCAGAAUGAGGCCACCCAGUAGUUAGGUGUGAAUUUUCGAGACCUUUGGCACCGUUCUAAGAUGGGUCCUCUCUUCGUAGGCUAAUGCAUUGGCCCUUUUUGACCCGUUUUGGGGCGAAAACAAAAACUGACUCCCGGGCAUAUUUUUUUCGGCCUUUAUGGGCAGAGAACUUUAAUACCGCUCAGAAUGAGGCCACCCAGUAGUUAGGUGUGAAUUUUCGAGACCUUCUGGCACCGUUCUAAGAUGGGUCCUCUCUUCGUAGGCUAAUGCAUUGGCCCUUUUUGACCCGUUUUGGGGCGAAAACAAAAACUGACUCCCGGGCAUAUUUUUUUCGGCCUUUAUGGGCAGAGAACUUUAAUGCCGCUCAGAAUGAGGCCACCCAGUAGUUAGGUGUGAAUUUUCGAGACCUCUGGCACCGUUCUAAGAUGGGUCCUCUCUUCGUAGGCUAAUGCAUUGGCCCUUUUUGACCCGUUUUGGGGCGAAAACAAAAACUGACUCCCGGGCAUAUUUUUUUCGGCCUUUAUGGGCAGAGAACUUUAAUACCGCUCAGAAUGAGGCCACCCAGUAGUUAGGUGUGAAUUUUCGAGACCUUUGGCACCGUUCUAAGAUGGGUCCUCUCUUCGUAGGCUAAUGCAUUGGCCCUUUUUGACCCGUUUUGGGGCGAAAACAAAAACUGACUCCCGGGCAUAUUUUUUUCGGCCUUUAUGGGCAGAGAACUUUAAUGCCGCUCAGAAUGAGGCCACCCAGUAGUUAGGUGUGAAUUUUCGAGACCUUUGGCACCGUUCUAAGAUGGGUCCUCUCUUCGUAGGCUAAUGCAUUGGCCCUUUUUGACCCGUUUUGGGGCGAAAACAAAAACUGACUCCCGGGCAUAUUUUUUUCGGCCUUUAUGGGCAGAGAACUUUAAUACCGCUCAAAAUGAGGCCACCCAGUAGUUAGGUGUGAAUUUUCGAGACCUCUGGCACCGUUCUAAGAUGGGUCCUCUCUUCGUAGGCUAAUGCAUUGGCCCUUUUUGACCCGUUUUGGGGCGAAAACAAAAACUGACUCCCGGGCAUAUUUUUUUCGGCCUUUAUGGGCAGAGAACUUUAAUACCGCUCAAAAUGAGGCCACCCAGUAGUUAGGUGUGAAUUUUCGAGACCUUUGGCACCGUUCUAAGAUGGGUCCUCUCUUCGUAGGCUAAUGCAUUGGCCCUUUUUGACCCGUUUUGGGGCGAAAACAAAAACUGACUCCCGGGCAUAUUUUUUUCGGCCUUUAUGGGCAGAGAACUUUAAUGCCGCUCAGAAUGAGGCCACCCAGUAGUUAGGUGUGAAUUUUCGAGACCUUUGGCACCGUUCUAAGAUGGGUCCUCUCUUCGUAGGCUAAUGCAUUGGCCCUUUUUGACCCGUUUUGGGGCGAAAACAAAAACUGACUCCCGGGCAUAUUUUUUUCGGCCUUUAUGGGCAGAGAACUUUAAUACCGCUCAAAAUGAGGCCACCCAGUAGUUAGGUGUGAAUUUUCGAGACCUUUGGCACCGUUCUAAGAUGGGUCCUCUCUUCGUAGGCUAAUGCAUUGGCCCUUUUUGACCCGUUUUGGGGCGAAAACAAAAACUGACUCCCGGGCAUAUUUUUUUCGGCCUUUAUGGGCAGAGAACUUUAAUACCGCUCAAAAUGAGGCCACCCAGUAGUUAGGUGUGAAUUUUCGAGACCUUUGGCACCGUUCUAAGAUGGGUCCUCUCUUCGUAGGCUAAUGCAUUGGCCCUUUUUGACCCGUUUUGGGGCGAAAACAAAAACUGACUCCCGGGCAUAUUUUUUUCGGCCUUUAUGGGCAGAGAACUUUAAUACCGCUCAAAAUGAGGCCACCCAGUAGUUAGGUGUGAAUUUUCGAGACCUCUGGCACCGUUCUAAGAUGGGUCCUCUCUUCGUAGGCUAAUGCAUUGGCCCUUUUUGACCCGUUUUGGGGCGAAAACAAAAACUGACUCCCGGGCAUAUUUUUUUCGGCCUUUAUGGGCAGAGAACUUUAAUGCCGCUCAAAAUGAGGCCACCCAGUAGUUAGGUGUGAAUUUUCGAGACCUCUGGCACCGUUCUAAGAUGGGUCCUCUCUUCGUAGGCUAAUGCAUUGGCCCUUUUUGACCCGUUUUGGGGCGAAAACAAAAACUGACUCCCGGGCAUAUUUUUUUCGGCCUUUAUGGGCAGAGAACUUUAAUACCGCUCAGAAUGAGGCCACCCAGUAGUUAGGUGUGAAUUUUCGAGACCUUUGGCACCGUUCUAAGAUGGGUCCUCUCUUCGUAGGCUAAUGCAUUGGCCCUUUUUGACCCGUUUUGGGGCGAAAACAAAAACUGACUCCCGGGCAUAUUUUUUUCGGCCUUUAUGGGCAGAGAACUUUAAUACCGCUCAAAAUGAGGCCACCCAGUAGUUAGGUGUGAAUUUUCGAGACCUUUGGCACCGUUCUAAGAUGGGUCCUCUCUUCGUAGGCUAAUGCAUUGGCCCUUUUUGACCCGUUUUGGGGCGAAAACAAAAACUGACUCCCGGGCAUAUUUUUUUCGGCCUUUAUGGGCAGAGAACUUUAAUACCGCUCAAAAUGAGGCCACCCAGUAGUUAGGUGUGAAUUUUCGAGACCUUUGGCACCGUUCUAAGAUGGGUCCUCUCUUCGUAGGCUAAUGCAUUGGCCCUUUUUGACCCGUUUUGGGGCGAAAACAAAAACUGACUCCCGGGCAUAUUUUUUUCGGCCUUUAUGGGCAGAGAACUUUAAUACCGCUCAAAAUGAGGCCACCCAGUAGUUAGGUGUGAAUUUUCGAGACCUUUGGCACCGUUCUAAGAUGGGUCCUCUCUUCGUAGGCUAAUGCAUUGGCCCUUUUUGACCCGUUUUGGGGCGAAAACAAAAACUGACUCCCGGGCAUAUUUUUUUCGGCCUUUAUGGGCAGAGAACUUUAAUACCGCUCAAAAUGAGGCCACCCAGUAGUUAGGUGUGAAUUUUCGAGACCUUUGGCACCGUUCUAAGAUGGGUCCUCUCUUCGUAGGCUAAUGCAUUGGCCCUUUUUGACCCGUUUUGGGGCGAAAACAAAAACUGACUCCCGGGCAUAUUUUUUUCGGCCUUUAUGGGCAGAGAACUUUAAUACCGCUCAAAAUGAGGCCACCCAGUAGUUAGGUGUGAAUUUUCGAGACCUUUGGCACCGUUCUAAGAUGGGUCCUCUCUUCGUAGGCUAAUGCAUUGGCCCUUUUUGACCCGUUUUGGGGCGAAAACAAAAACUGACUCCCGGGCAUAUUUUUUUCGGCCUUUAUGGGCAGAGAACUUUAAUACCGCUCAAAAUGAGGCCACCCAGUAGUUAGGUGUGAAUUUUCGAGACCUUUGGCACCGUUCUAAGAUGGGUCCUCUCUUCGUAGGCUAAUGCAUUGGCCCUUUUUGACCCGUUUUGGGGCGAAAACAAAAACUGACUCCCGGGCAUAUUUUUUUCGGCCUUUAUGGGCAGAGAACUUUAAUACCGCUCAAAAUGAGGCCACCCAGUAGUUAGGUGUGAAUUUUCGAGACCUUUGGCACCGUUCUAAGAUGGGUCCUCUCUUCGUAGGCUAAUGCAUUGGCCCUUUUUGACCCGUUUUGGGGCGAAAACAAAAACUGACUCCCGGGCAUAUUUUUUUCGGCCUUUAUGGGCAGAGAACUUUAAUACCGCUCAAAAUGAGGCCACCCAGUAGUUAGGUGUGAAUUUUCGAGACCUUUGGCACCGUUCUAAGAUGGGUCCUCUCUUCGUAGGCUAAUGCAUUGGCCCUUUUUGACCCGUUUUGGGGCGAAAACAAAAACUGACUCCCGGGCAUAUUUUUUUCGGCCUUUAUGGGCAGAGAACUUUAAUACCGCUCAAAAUGAGGCCACCCAGUAGUUAGGUGUGAAUUUUCGAGACCUUUGGCACCGUUCUAAGAUGGGUCCUCUCUUCGUAGGCUAAUGCAUUGGCCCUUUUUGACCCGUUUUGGGGCGAAAACAAAAACUGACUCCCGGGCAUAUUUUUUUCGGCCUUUAUGGGCAGAGAACUUUAAUACCGCUCAAAAUGAGGCCACCCAGUAGUUAGGUGUGAAUUUUCGAGACCUUUGGCACCGUUCUAAGAUGGGUCCUCUCUUCGUAGGCUAAUGCAUUGGCCCUUUUUGACCCGUUUUGGGGCGAAAACAAAAACUGACUCCCGGGCAUAUUUUUUUCGGCCUUUAUGGGCAGAGAACUUUAAUACCGCUCAAAAUGAGGCCACCCAGUAGUUAGGUGUGAAUUUUCGAGACCUUUGGCACCGUUCUAAGAUGGGUCCUCUCUUCGUAGGCUAAUGCAUUGGCCCUUUUUGACCCGUUUUGGGGCGAAAACAAAAACUGACUCCCGGGCAUAUUUUUUUCGGCCUUUAUGGGCAGAGAACUUUAAUACCGCUCAAAAUGAGGCCACCCAGUAGUUAGGUGUGAAUUUUCGAGACCUUUGGCACCGUUCUAAGAUGGGUCCUCUCUUCGUAGGCUAAUGCAUUGGCCCUUUUUGACCCGUUUUGGGGCGAAAACAAAAACUGACUCCCGGGCAUAUUUUUUUCGGCCUUUAUGGGCAGAGAACUUUAAUACCGCUCAAAAUGAGGCCACCCAGUAGUUAGGUGUGAAUUUUCGAGACCUUUGGCACCGUUCUAAGAUGGGUCCUCUCUUCGUAGGCUAAUGCAUUGGCCCUUUUUGACCCGUUUUGGGGCGAAAACAAAAACUGACUCCCGGGCAUAUUUUUUUCGGCCUUUAUGGGCAGAGAACUUUAAUACCGCUCAAAAUGAGGCCACCCAGUAGUUAGGUGUGAAUUUUCGAGACCUUUGGCACCGUUCUAAGAUGGGUCCUCUCUUCGUAGGCUAAUGCAUUGGCCCUUUUUGACCCGUUUUGGGGCGAAAACAAAAACUGACUCCCGGGCAUAUUUUUUUCGGCCUUUAUGGGCAGAGAACUUUAAUACCGCUCAAAAUGAGGCCACCCAGUAGUUAGGUGUGAAUUUUCGAGACCUUUGGCACCGUUCUAAGAUGGGUCCUCUCUUCGUAGGCUAAUGCAUUGGCCCUUUUUGACCCGUUUUGGGGCGAAAACAAAAACUGACUCCCGGGCAUAUUUUUUUCGGCCUUUAUGGGCAGAGAACUUUAAUACCGCUCAAAAUGAGGCCACCCAGUAGUUAGGUGUGAAUUUUCGAGACCUUUGGCACCGUUCUAAGAUGGGUCCUCUCUUCGUAGGCUAAUGCAUUGGCCCUUUUUGACCCGUUUUGGGGCGAAAACAAAAACUGACUCCCGGGCAUAUUUUUUUCGGCCUUUAUGGGCAGAGAACUUUAAUACCGCUCAAAAUGAGGCCACCCAGUAGUUAGGUGUGAAUUUUCGAGACCUUUGGCACCGUUCUAAGAUGGGUCCUCUCUUCGUAGGCUAAUGCAUUGGCCCUUUUUGACCCGUUUUGGGGCGAAAACAAAAACUGACUCCCGGGCAUAUUUUUUUCGGCCUUUAUGGGCAGAGAACUUUAAUACCGCUCAAAAUGAGGCCACCCAGUAGUUAGGUGUGAAUUUUCGAGACCUUUGGCACCGUUCUAAGAUGGGUCCUCUCUUCGUAGGCUAAUGCAUUGGCCCUUUUUGACCCGUUUUGGGGCGAAAACAAAAACUGACUCCCGGGCAUAUUUUUUUCGGCCUUUAUGGGCAGAGAACUUUAAUACCGCUCAAAAUGAGGCCACCCAGUAGUUAGGUGUGAAUUUUCGAGACCUUUGGCACCGUUCUAAGAUGGGUCCUCUCUUCGUAGGCUAAUGCAUUGGCCCUUUUUGACCCGUUUUGGGGCGAAAACAAAAACUGACUCCCGGGCAUAUUUUUUUCGGCCUUUAUGGGCAGAGAACUUUAAUACCGCUCAAAAUGAGGCCACCCAGUAGUUAGGUGUGAAUUUUCGAGACCUUUGGCACCGUUCUAAGAUGGGUCCUCUCUUCGUAGGCUAAUGCAUUGGCCCUUUUUGACCCGUUUUGGGGCGAAAACAAAAACUGACUCCCGGGCAUAUUUUUUUCGGCCUUUAUGGGCAGAGAACUUUAAUACCGCUCAAAAUGAGGCCACCCAGUAGUUAGGUGUGAAUUUUCGAGACCUUUGGCACCGUUCUAAGAUGGGUCCUCUCUUCGUAGGCUAAUGCAUUGGCCCUUUUUGACCCGUUUUGGGGCGAAAACAAAAACUGACUCCCGGGCAUAUUUUUUUCGGCCUUUAUGGGCAGAGAACUUUAAUACCGCUCAAAAUGAGGCCACCCAGUAGUUAGGUGUGAAUUUUCGAGACCUUUGGCACCGUUCUAAGAUGGGUCCUCUCUUCGUAGGCUAAUGCAUUGGCCCUUUUUGACCCGUUUUGGGGCGAAAACAAAAACUGACUCCCGGGCAUAUUUUUUUCGGCCUUUAUGGGCAGAGAACUUUAAUACCGCUCAAAAUGAGGCCACCCAGUAGUUAGGUGUGAAUUUUCGAGACCUUUGGCACCGUUCUAAGAUGGGUCCUCUCUUCGUAGGCUAAUGCAUUGGCCCUUUUUGACCCGUUUUGGGGCGAAAACAAAAACUGACUCCCGGGCAUAUUUUUUUCGGCCUUUAUGGGCAGAGAACUUUAAUACCGCUCAAAAUGAGGCCACCCAGUAGUUAGGUGUGAAUUUUCGAGACCUUUGGCACCGUUCUAAGAUGGGUCCUCUCUUCGUAGGCUAAUGCAUUGGCCCUUUUUGACCCGUUUUGGGGCGAAAACAAAAACUGACUCCCGGGCAUAUUUUUUUCGGCCUUUAUGGGCAGAGAACUUUAAUACCGCUCAAAAUGAGGCCACCCAGUAGUUAGGUGUGAAUUUUCGAGACCUUUGGCACCGUUCUAAGAUGGGUCCUCUCUUCGUAGGCUAAUGCAUUGGCCCUUUUUGACCCGUUUUGGGGCGAAAACAAAAACUGACUCCCGGGCAUAUUUUUUUCGGCCUUUAUGGGCAGAGAACUUUAAUACCGCUCAAAAUGAGGCCACCCAGUAGUUAGGUGUGAAUUUUCGAGACCUUUGGCACCGUUCUAAGAUGGGUCCUCUCUUCGUAGGCUAAUGCAUUGGCCCUUUUUGACCCGUUUUGGGGCGAAAACAAAAACUGACUCCCGGGCAUAUUUUUUUCGGCCUUUAUGGGCAGAGAACUUUAAUACCGCUCAAAAUGAGGCCACCCAGUAGUUAGGUGUGAAUUUUCGAGACCUUUGGCACCGUUCUAAGAUGGGUCCUCUCUUCGUAGGCUAAUGCAUUGGCCCUUUUUGACCCGUUUUGGGGCGAAAACAAAAACUGACUCCCGGGCAUAUUUUUUUCGGCCUUUAUGGGCAGAGAACUUUAAUACCGCUCAAAAUGAGGCCACCCAGUAGUUAGGUGUGAAUUUUCGAGACCUUUGGCACCGUUCUAAGAUGGGUCCUCUCUUCGUAGGCUAAUGCAUUGGCCCUUUUUGACCCGUUUUGGGGCGAAAACAAAAACUGACUCCCGGGCAUAUUUUUUUCGGCCUUUAUGGGCAGAGAACUUUAAUACCGCUCAAAAUGAGGCCACCCAGUAGUUAGGUGUGAAUUUUCGAGACCUUUGGCACCGUUCUAAGAUGGGUCCUCUCUUCGUAGGCUAAUGCAUUGGCCCUUUUUGACCCGUUUUGGGGCGAAAACAAAAACUGACUCCCGGGCAUAUUUUUUUCGGCCUUUAUGGGCAGAGAACUUUAAUACCGCUCAAAAUGAGGCCACCCAGUAGUUAGGUGUGAAUUUUCGAGACCUUUGGCACCGUUCUAAGAUGGGUCCUCUCUUCGUAGGCUAAUGCAUUGGCCCUUUUUGACCCGUUUUGGGGCGAAAACAAAAACUGACUCCCGGGCAUAUUUUUUUCGGCCUUUAUGGGCAGAGAACUUUAAUACCGCUCAAAAUGAGGCCACCCAGUAGUUAGGUGUGAAUUUUCGAGACCUUUGGCACCGUUCUAAGAUGGGUCCUCUCUUCGUAGGCUAAUGCAUUGGCCCUUUUUGACCCGUUUUGGGGCGAAAACAAAAACUGACUCCCGGGCAUAUUUUUUUCGGCCUUUAUGGGCAGAGAACUUUAAUACCGCUCAAAAUGAGGCCACCCAGUAGUUAGGUGUGAAUUUUCGAGACCUUUGGCACCGUUCUAAGAUGGGUCCUCUCUUCGUAGGCUAAUGCAUUGGCCCUUUUUGACCCGUUUUGGGGCGAAAACAAAAACUGACUCCCGGGCAUAUUUUUUUCGGCCUUUAUGGGCAGAGAACUUUAAUACCGCUCAAAAUGAGGCCACCCAGUAGUUAGGUGUGAAUUUUCGAGACCUUUGGCACCGUUCUAAGAUGGGUCCUCUCUUCGUAGGCUAAUGCAUUGGCCCUUUUUGACCCGUUUUGGGGCGAAAACAAAAACUGACUCCCGGGCAUAUUUUUUUCGGCCUUUAUGGGCAGAGAACUUUAAUACCGCUCAAAAUGAGGCCACCCAGUAGUUAGGUGUGAAUUUUCGAGACCUCUUGGCACCGUUCUAAGAUGGGUCCUCUCUUCGUAGGCUAAUGCAUUGGCCCUUUUUGACCCGUUUUGGGGCGAAAACAAAAACUGACUCCCGGGCAUAUUUUUUUCGGCCUUUAUGGGCAGAGAACUUUAAUACCGCUCAAAAUGAGGCCACCCAGUAGUUAGGUGUGAAUUUUCGAGACCUCUGGCACCGUUCUAAGAUGGGUCCUCUCUUCGUAGGCUAAUGCAUUGGCCCUUUUUGACCCGUUUUGGGGCGAAAACAAAAACUGACUCCCGGGCAUAUUUUUUUCGGCCUUUAUGGGCAGAGAACUUUAAUGCCGCUCAAAAUGAGGCCACCCAGUAGUUAGGUGUGAAUUUUCGAGACCUCUGGCACCGUUCUAAGAUGGGUCCUCUCUUCGUAGGCUAAUGCAUUGGCCCUUUUUGACCCGUUUUGGGGCGAAAACAAAAACUGACUCCCGGGCAUAUUUUUUUCGGCCUUUAUGGGCAGAGAACUUUAAUACCGCUCAGAAUGAGGCCACCCAGUAGUUAGGUGUGAAUUUUCGAGACCUUCUGGCACCGUUCUAAGAUGGGUCCUCUCUUCGUAGGCUAAUGCAUUGGCCCUUUUUGACCCGUUUUGGGGCGAAAACAAAAACUGACUCCCGGGCAUAUUUUUUUCGGCCUUUAUGGGCAGAGAACUUUAAUACCGCUCAGAAUGAGGCCACCCAGUAGUUAGGUGUGAAUUUUCGAGACCUCUGGCACCGUUCUAAGAUGGGUCCUCUCUUCGUAGGCUAAUGCAUUGGCCCUUUUUGACCCGUUUUGGGGCGAAAACAAAAACUGACUCCCGGGCAUAUUUUUUUCGGCCUUUAUGGGCAGAGAACUUUAAUACCGCUCAGAAUGAGGCCACCCAGUAGUUAGGUGUGAAUUUUCGAGACCUUUGGCACCGUUCUAAGAUGGGUCCUCUCUUCGUAGGCUAAUGCAUUGGCCCUUUUUGACCCGUUUUGGGGCGAAAACAAAAACUGACUCCCGGGCAUAUUUUUUUCGGCCUUUAUGGGCAGAGAACUUUAAUGCCGCUCAGAAUGAGGCCACCCAGUAGUUAGGUGUGAAUUUUCGAGACCUUUGGCACCGUUCUAAGAUGGGUCCUCUCUUCGUAGGCUAAUGCAUUGGCCCUUUUUGACCCGUUUUGGGGCGAAAACAAAAACUGACUCCCGGGCAUAUUUUUUUCGGCCUUUAUGGGCAGAGAACUUUAAUGCCGCUCAGAAUGAGGCCACCCAGUAGUUAGGUGUGAAUUUUCGAGACCUCUGGCACCGUUCUAAGAUGGGUCCUCUCUUCGUAGGCUAAUGCAUUGGCCCUUUUUGACCCGUUUUGGGGCGAAAACAAAAACUGACUCCCGGGCAUAUUUUUUUCGGCCUUUAUGGGCAGAGAACUUUAAUACCGCUCAAAAUGAGGCCACCCAGUAGUUAGGUGUGAAUUUUCGAGACCUUUGGCACCGUUCUAAGAUGGGUCCUCUCUUCGUAGGCUAAUGCAUUGGCCCUUUUUGACCCGUUUUGGGGCGAAAACAAAAACUGACUCCCGGGCAUAUUUUUUUCGGCCUUUAUGGGCAGAGAACUUUAAUACCGCUCAAAAUGAGGCCACCCAGUAGUUAGGUGUGAAUUUUCGAGACCUCUGGCACCGUUCUAAGAUGGGUCCUCUCUUCGUAGGCUAAUGCAUUGGCCCUUUUUGACCCGUUUUGGGGCGAAAACAAAAACUGACUCCCGGGCAUAUUUUUUUCGGCCUUUAUGGGCAGAGAACUUUAAUACCGCUCAAAAUGAGGCCACCCAGUAGUUAGGUGUGAAUUUUCGAGACCUUUGGCACCGUUCUAAGAUGGGUCCUCUCUUCGUAGGCUAAUGCAUUGGCCCUUUUUGACCCGUUUUGGGGCGAAAACAAAAACUGACUCCCGGGCAUAUUUUUUUCGGCCUUUAUGGGCAGAGAACUUUAAUACCGCUCAGAAUGAGGCCACCCAGUAGUUAGGUGUGAAUUUUCGAGACCUUUGGCACCGUUCUAAGAUGGGUCCUCUCUUCGUAGGCUAAUGCAUUGGCCCUUUUUGACCCGUUUUGGGGCGAAAACAAAAACUGACUCCCGGGCAUAUUUUUUUCGGCCUUUAUGGGCAGAGAACUUUAAUACGCCGCUCAGAAUGAGGCCACCCAGUAGUUAGGUGUGAAUUUUCGAGACCUUUGGCACCGUUCUAAGAUGGGUCCUCUCUUCGUAGGCUAAUGCAUUGGCCCUUUUUGACCCGUUUUGGGGCGAAAACAAAAACUGACUCCCGGGCAUAUUUUUUUCGGCCUUUAUGGGCAGAGAACUUUAAUACCGCUCAGAAUGAGGCCACCCAGUAGUUAGGUGUGAAUUUUCGAGACCUUUGGCACCGUUCUAAGAUGGGUCCUCUCUUCGUAGGCUAAUGCAUUGGCCCUUUUUGACCCGUUUUGGGGCGAAAACAAAAACUGACUCCCGGGCAUAUUUUUUUCGGCCUUUAUGGGCAGAGAACUUUAAUACCGCUCAGAAUGAGGCCACCCAGUAGUUAGGUGUGAAUUUUCGAGACCUUUGGCACCGUUCUAAGAUGGGUCCUCUCUUCGUAGGCUAAUGCAUUGGCCCUUUUUGACCCGUUUUGGGGCGAAAACAAAAACUGACUCCCGGGCAUAUUUUUUUCGGCCUUUAUGGGCAGAGAACUUUAAUACCGCUCAAAAUGAGGCCACCCAGUAGUUAGGUGUGAAUUUUCGAGACCUUCUGGCACCGUUCUAAGAUGGGUCCUCUCUUCGUAGGCUAAUGCAUUGGCCCUUUUUGACCCGUUUUGGGGCGAAAACAAAAACUGACUCCCGGGCAUAUUUUUUUCGGCCUUUAUGGGCAGAGAACUUUAAUACCGCUCAAAAUGAGGCCACCCAGUAGUUAGGUGUGAAUUUUCGAGACCUCUGGCACCGUUCUAAGAUGGGUCCUCUCUUCGUAGGCUAAUGCAUUGGCCCUUUUUGACCCGUUUUGGGGCGAAAACAAAAACUGACUCCCGGGCAUAUUUUUUUCGGCCUUUAUGGGCAGAGAACUUUAAUACCCGCUCAGAAUGAGGCCACCCAGUAGUUAGGUGUGAAUUUUCGAGACCUUCUGGCACCGUUCUAAGAUGGGUCCUCUCUUCGUAGGCUAAUGCAUUGGCCCUUUUUGACCCGUUUUGGGGCGAAAACAAAAACUGACUCCCGGGCAUAUUUUUUUCGGCCUUUAUGGGCAGAGAACUUUAAUACCGCUCAAAAUGAGGCCACCCAGUAGUUAGGUGUGAAUUUUCGAGACCUCUGGCACCGUUCUAAGAUGGGUCCUCUCUUCGUAGGCUAAUGCAUUGGCCCUUUUUGACCCGUUUUGGGGCGAAAACAAAAACUGACUCCCGGGCAUAUUUUUUUCGGCCUUUAUGGGCAGAGAACUUUAAUACCGCUCAAAAUGAGGCCACCCAGUAGUUAGGUGUGAAUUUUCGAGACCUUUGGCACCGUUCUAAGAUGGGUCCUCUCUUCGUAGGCUAAUGCAUUGGCCCUUUUUGACCCGUUUUGGGGCGAAAACAAAAACUGACUCCCGGGCAUAUUUUUUUCGGCCUUUAUGGGCAGAGAACUUUAAUGCCGCUCAGAAUGAGGCCACCCAGUAGUUAGGUGUGAAUUUUCGAGACCUUUGGCACCGUUCUAAGAUGGGUCCUCUCUUCGUAGGCUAAUGCAUUGGCCCUUUUUGACCCGUUUUGGGGCGAAAACAAAAACUGACUCCCGGGCAUAUUUUUUUCGGCCUUUAUGGGCAGAGAACUUUAAUGCCGCUCAAAAUGAGGCCACCCAGUAGUUAGGUGUGAAUUUUCGAGACCUUUGGCACCGUUCUAAGAUGGGUCCUCUCUUCGUAGGCUAAUGCAUUGGCCCUUUUUGACCCGUUUUGGGGCGAAAACAAAAACUGACUCCCGGGCAUAUUUUUUUCGGCCUUUAUGGGCAGAGAACUUUAAUACCGCUCAAAAUGAGGCCACCCAGUAGUUAGGUGUGAAUUUUCGAGACCUUUGGCACCGUUCUAAGAUGGGUCCUCUCUUCGUAGGCUAAUGCAUUGGCCCUUUUUGACCCGUUUUGGGGCGAAAACAAAAACUGACUCCCGGGCAUAUUUUUUUCGGCCUUUAUGGGCAGAGAACUUUAAUGCCGCUCAAAAUGAGGCCACCCAGUAGUUAGGUGUGAAUUUUCGAGACCUUUGGCACCGUUCUAAGAUGGGUCCUCUCUUCGUAGGCUAAUGCAUUGGCCCUUUUUGACCCGUUUUGGGGCGAAAACAAAAACUGACUCCCGGGCAUAUUUUUUUCGGCCUUUAUGGGCAGAGAACUUUAAUACCCGCUCAGAAUGAGGCCACCCAGUAGUUAGGUGUGAAUUUUCGAGACCUUUGGCACCGUUCUAAGAUGGGUCCUCUCUUCGUAGGCUAAUGCAUUGGCCCUUUUUGACCCGUUUUGGGGCGAAAACAAAAACUGACUCCCGGGCAUAUUUUUUUCGGCCUUUAUGGGCAGAGAACUUUAAUACCGCUCAGAAAUGAGGCCACCCAGUAGUUAGGUGUGAAUUUUCGAGACCUUUGGCACCGUUCUAAGAUGGGUCCUCUCUUCGUAGGCUAAUGCAUUGGCCCUUUUUGACCCGUUUUGGGGCGAAAACAAAAACUGACUCCCGGGCAUAUUUUUUUCGGCCUUUAUGGGCAGAGAACUUUAAUACCGCUCAGAAAUGAGGCCACCCAGUAGUUAGGUGGGAAUUUUCGAGACCUUUGGCACCGUUCUAAGAUGGGUCCUCUCUUCGUAGGCUAAUGCAUUGGCCCUUUUUGACCCGUUUUGGGGCGAAAACAAAAACUGACUCCCGGGCAUAUUUUUUUCGGCCUUUAUGGGCAGAGAACUUUAACACCGCUCAAAAUGAGGCCACCCAGUAGUUAGGUGUGAAUUUUCGAGACCUUUGGCACCGUUCUAAGAUGGGUCCUCUCUUCGUAGGCUAAUGCAUUGGCCCUUUUUGACCCGUUUUGGGGCGAAAACAAAAACUGACUCCCGGGCAUAUUUUUUUCGGCCUUUAUGGGCAGAGAACUUUAAUACCGCUCAAAAUGAGGCCACCCAGUAGUUAGGUGUGAAUUUUCGAGACCUUUGGCACCGUUCUAAGAUGGGUCCUCUCUUCGUAGGCUAAUGCAUUGGCCCUUUUUGACCCGUUUUGGGGCGAAAACAAAAACUGACUCCCGGGCAUAUUUUUUUCGGCCUUUAUGGGCAGAGAACUUUAACACCGCUCAAAAUGAGGCCACCCAGUAGUUAGGUGGGAAUUUUCGAGACCUUUGGCACCGUUCUAAGAUGGGUCCUCUCUUCGUAGGCUAAUGCAUUGGCCCUUUUUGACCCGUUUUGGGGCGAAAACAAAAACUGACUCCCGGGCAUAUUUUUUUUCGGCCUUUAUGGGCAGAGAACUUUAACACCGCUCAAAAUGAGGCCACCCAGUAGUUAGGUGGGAAUUUUCGAGACCUUUGGCACCGUUCUAAGAUGGGUCCUCUCUUCGUAGGCUAAUGCAUUGGCCCUUUUUGACCCGUUUUGGGGCGAAAACAAAAACUGACUCCCGGGCAUAUUUUUC
rnacentral:lncRNA from 1 species